rnacentral:lncRNA from 1 species
UACUACUAUUAAACAAUCAAAUAAGAACUUUCUUACGCGCACCCCGCAAUUAGUCCCACAAUAACGCACGAGCCAAUCAGCACCACACGAUUAGGCCAACAAGUCUCAAUCUAACAGCCAUCAUUAAUCCAAUACCUCUACGGUGUGCACUUAGCAUUUACCAAUGACUGACCAUACUUCACCAGGAGAGUAGUAGUCGAACAACCAGCCCCGCGCGUCCCUACAAUCACGGAAAUCAGAUCGCAAACUAACAACCAGCUCAGCGUGCCCUACAAUCACGGAAAAUCAGAUCGCAAGCUAAGGGAACUUCACGCCCUUGACCUUGAC